GACGAACGCUGGCGGCGUGCCUAAUACAUGCAAGUAGAACGCUGAAGAGAGGAGCUUGCUCUUCUUGGAUGAGUUGCGAACGGGUGAGUAACGCGUAGGUAACCUGCCUUGUAGCGGGGGAUAACUAUUGGAAACGAUAGCUAAUACCGCAUAACAAUGGAUGACACAUGUCAUUUAUUUGAAAGGGGCAAUUGCUCCACUACAAGAUGGACCUGCGUUGUAUUAGCUAGUAGGUGAGGUAAUGGCUCACCUAGGCGACGAUACAUAGCCGACCUGAGAGGGUGAUCGGCCACACUGGGACUGAGACACGGCCCAGACUCCUACGGGAGGCAGCAGUAGGGAAUCUUCGGCAAUGGGGGCAACCCUGACCGAGCAACGCCGCGUGAGUGAAGAAGGUUUUCGGAUCGUAAAGCUCUGUUGUAAGUCAAGAACGGGUGUGAGAGUGGAAAGUUCACACUGUGACGGUAGCUUACCAGAAAGGGACGGCUAACUACGUGCCAGCAGCCGCGGUAAUACGUAGGUCCCGAGCGUUGUCCGGAUUUAUUGGGCGUAAAGCGAGCGCAAGCGGUUUGAUAAGUCUGAAGUUAAAGGCUGUGGCUCAACCAUAGUUCGCUUUGGAAACUGUCAAACUUGAGUGCAGAAGGGGAGAGUGGAAUUCCAUGUGUAGCGGUGAAAUGCGUAGAUAUAUGGAGGAACACCGGUGGCGAAAGCUGCUCUCUGGUCUGUAACUGACGCUGAGGCUCGAAAGCGUGGGGAGCGAACAGGAUUAGAUACCCUGGUAGUCCACGCCGUAAACGAUGAGUGCUAGGUGUUGGAUCCUUUCCGGGAUUCAGUGCCGCAGCUAACGCAUUAAGCACUCCGCCUGGGGAGUACGACCGCAAGGUUGAAACUCAAAGGAAUUGACGGGGGCCCGCACAAGCGGUGGAGCAUGUGGUUUAAUUCGAAGCAACGCGAAGAACCUUACCAGGUCUUGACAUCCCGAUGCUAUUUCUAGAGAUAGAAAGUUACUUCGGUACAUCGGUGACAGGUGGUGCAUGGUUGUCGUCAGCUCGUGUCGUGAGAUGUUGGGUUAAGUCCCGCAACGAGCGCAACCCCUAUUGUUAGUUGCCAUCAUUCAGUUGGGCACUCUAGUGAGACUGCCGGUAAUAAACCGGAGGAAGGUGGGGAUGACGUCAAAUCGUCAUGCCCCUUAUGACCUGGGCUACACACGUGCUACAAUGGUUGGUACAACGAGUUGCGAGUCGGUGACGGCGAGCUAAUCUCUUAAAGCCAAUCUCAGUUCGGAUUGUAGGCUGCAACUCGCCUACAUGAAGUCGGAAUCGCUAGUAAUCGCGGAUCAGCACGCCGCGGUGAAUACGUUCCCGGGCCU
rnacentral:rRNA from 1 species